GGCUCGAUGAUUGAAGUCAACUUUUUGACAAUAUACGCUAUUCUGAGAUAGCUGAAAGCUGAUAACAGAGAUUAUGAGAGCU